GUCCAGCGGACAGAUGGGAGCUUGCUCCCUGAUGUUAGCGGCGGACGUAGUGAGUAACACGUGGGUAACCUGCCUGUAAGACUGGGAUAACUCCGGGAAACCGGGGCUAAUACCGGAUGGUUGUUUGAACCGCAUGGUUCAAACAUAAAAGGUGGCUUCGGCUACCACUUACAGAUGGACCCGCGGCGCAUUAGCUAGUUGGUGAGGUAACGGCUCACCAAGGCGACGAUGCGUAGCCGACCUGAGAGGGUGAUCGGCCACACUGGGACUGAGACACGGCCCAGACUCCUACGGGAGGCAGCAGUAGGGAAUCUUCCGCAAUGGACGAAAGUCUGACGGAGCAACGCCGCGUGAGUGAUGAAGGUUUUCGGAUCGUAAAGCUCUGUUGUUAGGGAAGAACAAGUACCGUUCGAAUAGGGCGGUACCUUGACGGUACCUAACCAGAAAGCCACGGCUAACUACGUGCCAGCAGCCGCGGUAAUACGUAGGUGGCAAGCGUUGUCCGGAAUUAUUGGGCGUAAAGGGCUCGCAGGCGGUUUCUUAAGUCUGAUGUGAAAGCCCCCGGCUCAACCGGGGAGGGUCAUUGGAAACUGGGGAACUUGAGUGCAGAAGAGGAGAGUGGAAUUCCACGUGUAGCGGUGAAAUGCGUAGAGAUGUGGAGGAACACCAGUGGCGAAGGCGACUCUCUGGUCUGUAACUGACGCUGAGGAGCGAAAGCGUGGGGAGCGAACAGGAUUAGAUACCCUGGUAGUCCACGCCGUAAACGAUGAGUGCUAAGUGUUAGGGGGUUUCCGCCCCUUAGUGCUGCAGCUAACGCAUUAAGCACUCCGCCUGGGGAGUACGGUCGCAAGACUGAAACUCAAAGGAAUUGACGGGGGCCCGCACAAGCGGUGGAGCAUGUGGUUUAAUUCGAAGCAACGCGAAGAACCUUACCAGGUCUUGACAUCCUCUGACAAUCCUAGAGAUAGGACGUCCCCUUCGGGGGCAGAGUGACAGGUGGUGCAUGGUUGUCGUCAGCUCGUGUCGUGAGAUGUUGGGUUAAGUCCCGCAACGAGCGCAACCCUUGAUCUUAGUUGCCAGCAUUCAGUUGGGCACUCUAAGGUGACUGCCGGUGACAAACCGGAAGAAAGGGGGGAGACGUCAAAUCAUCAUGCCCCUU
rnacentral:rRNA from 1 species